rnacentral:sRNA from 1 species
UCCGGGUGCGGUGGCUCACGCCUGUAAUCCCAGCACUUUGGGAGGCUCAGGCAGGUGGAUCACCUGAGGUCAGGAGUUUGAGACCAGCCUGACCGACAUGGUGAAACCCUGUCUCUAUUAAAAAUACAAAAAAAUUAGCUGGGGCUGGGGGGUGGUGUAAUCCCAGUACUUUGGGAGGCCGAGAUGGGUGGAUCAUUUGAAGUCAGGAGUUCAAGACCAGCCUGGCCAAAAUGGUGAAACCCUGUCUCU